rnacentral:SRP_RNA from 1 species
GUCGAGCUUAGUAACGCAGGCUUGURAUCCAAGUGGAGACAACAAAGGURAUGGAACWUUGGGUCGAUYUCACUGGGCCGGGUUCGGGUUGGGCUUUCUACUGGUYUGCCYGUUCCAAGUCGGGAGUMGAGACCURUGUCUUGAGCGAAGGCUCGGGGCUCUUGUCUCUUAGAGCGGAGGAGACCGCGUGAGGCUGGUUUCACAGAGCAGCGUCCACCUUCCUCUCUCGACGGUGGAAGGAUAACGGUCCGGUGCCUUCCGAGCCCACUAUGACCCAUUAAGUCGACUCCAUCUGGACCAUCACUUUU